rnacentral:snRNA from 1 species
AUUAUUUUUUCUAAAAAAUAAAAAAAAAUUUUUAAAAAAAAAUCUGUUCUUAUCAGUUUAAUAUCUGAUACGUCCCCCAUCGGGGGACUACAUAUUAAAUUGAUUUUUCGAACAGGGAGUCGGAAAUGGGGCUUGCUCCGUCCGCUCCACGCAUCGACCCGGUAUUGCAGUACCUCCGGGAACGGUGCAACACUU